GAUCAUGGCUCAGGAUGAACGCUAGCUACAGGCUUAACACAUGCAAGUCGAGGGGCAUCAGGAUGUAGCAAUACAUUGCUGGCGACCGGCGCACGGGUGAGUAACACGUAUCCAACCUGCCUUUUACUCGAGGAUAGGCUUUCGAAAGAAAGAUUAAUACCCGAUGGCAUAAUAUUUCCGCAUGGGAUUAUUAUUAAAGAAUUUCGGUAAAAGAUGGGGAUGCGUUCCAUUAGGCAGUUGGG
rnacentral:rRNA from 1 species